GUAGUCAUAUGCUUGUCUCAAAGAUUAAGCCAUGCAUGUCUAAGUAUAAGCACUUUAUACUGUGAAACUGCGAAUGGCUCAUUAAAUCAGUUAUCGUUUAUUUGAUAGUACCUUACUACAUGGAUACCUGUGGUAAUUCUAGAGCUAAUACAUGCUAAAAACCCCGACUUCAGGAAGGGGUGUAUUUAUUAGAUAAAAAACCAACGCCCUUCGGGGCUCCUUGGUGAAUCAUAAUAACUUAACGAAUCGCAUGGCCUUGCGCCGGCGAUGGUUCAUUCAAAUUUCUGCCCUAUCAACUUUCGAUGGUAGGAUAGUGGCCUACCAUGGUGGCAACGGGUAACGGGGAAUUAGGGUUCGAUUCCGGAGAGGGAGCCUGAGAAACGGCUACCACAUCCAAGGAAGGCAGCAGGCGCGCAAAUUACCCAAUCCCGAUACGGGGAGGUAGUGACAAUAAAUACUGAUACGGGGCUCUUUUGGGUCUCGUAAUUGGAAUGAGAACAAUUUAAAUCCCUUAACGAGGAACAAUUGGAGGGCAAGUCUGGUGCCAGCAGCCGCGGUAAUUCCAGCUCCAAUAGCGUAUAUUAAAGUUGUUGCAGUUAAAAAGCUCGUAGUUGAACCUUGGGUCUGGCUGGCCGGUCCGCCUCACCGCGAGUACUGUCCGGCUGGACCUUUCCUUCUGGGGAACCUCAUGGCCUUCACUGGCUGUGGGGGGAACCAGGACUUUUACUGUGAAAAAAUUAGAGU
rnacentral:rRNA from 1 species